AUUGUUCUGGUAAUCUGCUGACCUUAAAAUGUAGUUUCUACCGUGAUCCAAUUAUCAGCACCGGUUGCUCGAAGCCCCGGUAAUUAAUCACGUGUAUUUCACCCUUGUGCAACCCUUUGGCACACGUGGUUAAUUGACAGUCAGUUACCAAUAGAAAAUUUAUCAUUACGAUUUAUUUCAGAAUUAAAGAGGAACGACUUAUAAAAUCAAAAGAAAUGUACUUCAAUUUUAUUUAUUUAUUUAUUUAGAGAUAUAUAUUUUUAUCAAUUAAGCGGAUAAAGUUGAUGUUUUUGUUAUUGAUGAAUAUAUAUGACGGUAAAGUAGGUUCCACAAUUUCCCGCUAGAUGGCAAUCGAGCUGAAGUUCAUGUUACGUGUGAUUUUUUUUUUAAAUUAGUACAAAUUAACGAUAAUUUAUAUGGAGGAGCUCGUGUACACGUUGACGUAAUUAGGAUGAGUAAGAAUGAGUAAGAAUAGAAUUUUCUUUCAAUUUUUGGUAACUAUUCCCCUCUAUUUAGAAGUAAUCGUUUGAUAGAUUAGUUAGACAUUUUUCAUCGAGAAAGUUUUCUUUUUCGAAUGGAAAAGAAAUUCAAGAAAACGUUCCAGUCGUACGCAAUAUAUCAUGUACACGUUUGAUUUAUGUUAAGUCAUAAAUGAAACUACUAUCAUUUUCAAUUUUGUCAUACUAAUUGCAACUCUAAUUUUUCAUUAUCUCUAUUAUUGUGUUUUUAUAAUUAUAACCUUCAAUUAACAGAUACGACAUAUACAAUGAUGAAACCAGCAGUGAAGGUAUUUAUCAUGGACCUAGAAAUAUAGUAUAACGUCGUGAGCUGAAGUUAUUUCUGGACAAGAAUCCAUGGUCUAAUUUAUCGUGAACGAGUUAAUUGUAAGAUACACGCAAUUGGCCUGAUGCAACCAUCUUUUUCAACAGGUAAUAACGUCUCUAUUACCGGAAACAAGGUGGCGAUGCUGCGGUCCAGAAUAGAUGGCUUCUCUACAACGGUUGAGUUCCGAAGGAAGCCUGACAUCCCGCGUCGCUCUUCUGUGGCAAACUUCGAGAAAAUAUUGUCCAGUUGGCUAAACGCUCGAUCGUUUUGUUAUUUUUGGCCACGGGCCAAUAUUAUUCGCAGAACUUGUUGCGAUUGUCCACCAGAGAUGCCAGCUGACUUAUUCUCAAGACGUUCGUGCAAAAAUCUUUUACUUUCUGGAAUAUUGAGAAGAGAGAUGAUUUUUCUUACGAUUUGAAUUGCUAGCCAAGAAGCAGUAAUGAAGCGACUGACAUUCUAACUCAUCACAUAUCGUAGAGUUAAUUUAUUCCGUGACCAUCUUUUCAAUAUCACUAGUCGUUUUUCUCAGAAAUUAGCAUUCUAUGCAUAUGCAUGUAGUCGCAUAUGCUUGCAGUCUUGUCCGCAGAAACAUCGGUACAAAUGCGGUACAAUCGUAGGUUGUAGGUUAAUAAUGUUAAAAUCCUUUUUUAUCAUGGAUCGAAACUUAGAUCAAUUCUAAGGCUAAAUUUAUUGAAGAGUAUCUAUUUUGGUGAUAAGAACAUACUUAACCGUGCAUCAUUGAACAACUAAAAAUAUGCUUAAUAUUUAUCUGUAAUUAAUGUUACAAGAUGGUUGUAAUUAAUCGUUGUGUGAUCAACACCAUAAAAAAAAUUGGAACAGCCUUGAUUCUUCUUUAUCCGAUUGUAUUUUCUUUGCACUUGAUUUUGCUUUCAGUUACACAGUAGUCAUUAAUUCAAUAAACAAGGAAGAUCUUGUGAUAUAGAAAUCGUUUAAAAGAGGUUAAGGGAUAAAGAGGUUGGAUGUACCGAGGACAAGAUAACGCGGAUGAUAACAUAUUAUAAUAAUCGCCAUUUCUCGGUCAUUGCUAUACUCCCGCGCAAGUUUAAGACACUUAUGUAUUGCAUUAGAAAGUUUGAGAAGAAAGCGCAAUGCUCAAUCUGUUAUGGAGUAGAAUUUUGUCAUAAUAAAUGUCUCAUUAGAAAUUUUAUUAUUAAACAUAUCACGAGUCGAAAUCACGUUGUACAUAUUGGAUAAAAUUUUAUAUUUUACAAUCAAGCAUAAUGAUCAGCACAAAAAAAUUACGAACGAAAAUACACUUUCUCCAAUGAAAUUUAUUUUACCAAUGACGUCAAUUAAUAGAGAUAAGCCAGUAUAGAUAAAGAUAUAAUACUAAAUAAAUUAUUAUUUUUCAAUUUGAUUAUUUUUUCAUAAUUAUCAUUAUCAGUAUACGCAUGCAUAAACACAUAAAAUGCUAAUCUCUUUGAUUCAAAUAUGAACAUCUGGUGCAUGUGUAU